AACGAACGCUGGCGGCAUGCCUAACACAUGCAAGUCGAACGAGACCUUCGGGUCUAGUGGCGCACGGGUGCGUAACGCGUGGGAACCUGCCCUUAGGUUCGGAAUAACUCCCCGAAAGGGGUGCUAAUACCGGAUAAUGUCUUCGGACCAAAGAUUUAUCGCCUUUGGAUGGGCCCGCGUUGGAUUAGCUAGUUGGUAGGGUAAAAGCCUACCAAGGCGACGAUCCAUAGCUGGUCUGAGAGGAUGAUCAGCCACACUGGGACUGAGACACGGCCCAGAAUCCUACGGGAGGCAGCAGUGGGGAAUAUUGGACAGUGGGCGAAAGCCUGAUCCAGCAAUGCCGCGUGAGUGAUGAAGGCCUUAGGGUUGUAAAGCUCUUUUACCCGGGAUGAUAAUGACAGUACCGGGAGAAUAAGCUCCGGCUAACUCCGUG
rnacentral:rRNA from 1 species